rnacentral:sRNA from 1 species
UUUGAAAAUUCACUUAGCAUCUACAAUACAACUACAAGAAAUAAAUUAUUAUAGCUUACAACAUUAUUUUACAGAAGCCAUAGCCAACUCGAAUCUCUCCACAUCUCGAUCUCGACUGCGGCAUCACAUCAAUUGACUCGCCUCGAAACUAUUGGAUAUCCAUCACCAGAAAGUGAAUCACAUUGGCAUCGCUCCUUGCCAUCAUACAUACUCCUGCUCUGCCAUCCCAACCGAUCCCCAAAAUACAAUAAUAUCACCGACUCUAUCAAACAAGGAGUGCUAUCGCAACACUUGCUUUACUAUUUGAUGACGAGGCUUUCCUCGUGGCAGCAUUAAAUUGCUAUUAGUGCCAGAUCAUUCUUGCGGCCAUCUCGCAAAUUUUUGUAUGGGCGCGAAAACCCCGUUUUUUUCCAACCGGUCUCCACACCGCAAACCUGUGCCCUAUGGGAAUUUUAUUCCACCGAUCGAUCCGUCUCAGUUCGCUCUAUCGAAGGGUGCGAUGCAUGGAUGCAUAGCUUGAGAAAAACCCAUGCGCGAUGGGAGAAAACCGCUGAUGUUCGGCGGUCACCGCUGCCUGACCCGCGGCUUUCGGCCCUCGCCGCUCGCUAACCCUGGUUAACCCCAUCGCGCGCCCAGGCUAACCCCCGGGGGCGGGCUAAAAUAACGUAAUUAAGGUGGAAACGUUAUUUAUUCGACCUAGCUCCUAAUCCCCUAAGCACCCUUCCGGUUUUUCGACGGUCCCCUAAGCUCACUUGGUGGAUUUCCACUUGCAGUUGUGCAUGAAGAUCAUUUUUUUUUCUUUGCAUCUCAUUGCAUCAUCACUUUUGAUUUUAUUUAUUCAGGUGUGCAUCAUCCAAUACACUUAUUUUCUAAUGCAUAGACGUCAUUUA